AUUGAACGCUGGCGGCAUGCUUUACACAUGCAAGUCGAACGGUAACAGGGUGCUUGCACCGCUGACGAGUGGCGAACGGGUGAGUAAUGCGUCGGAACGUGCCGAGUAGUGGGGGAUAACGCAGCGAAAGUUGUGCUAAUACCGCAUACGUACUGAGGUAGAAAGUGGGGGACCUUCGGGCCUCACGCUAUUCGAGCGGCCGGCGUCUGAUUAGCUAGUAGGUGAGGUAAAGGCUCACCUAGGCGACGAUCAGUAGCGGGUCUGGGAGGAUGAUCCGCCACACUGGGACUGAGACACGGGCCAGACUCCUACGGGAGGCAGCAGUGGGGAAUUUUGGACAAUGGGCGAAAGCCUGAUCCAGCCAUGCCGCGUGUCUGAAGAAGGCCUUCGGGUUGUAAAGGACUUUUGUCAGGGAGGAAAUCCCUAGUGCUAAUAACACUGGGGGAUGACAGUACCUGAAGAAUAAGCACCGGCUAACUACGUGCCAGCAGCCGCGGUAA
rnacentral:rRNA from 1 species